CAAAAUGCUGGUCCUGAACAACCAUGACAUUACUGAUUAUUUUUUGGUUGCUGCUACUCGAGGCGCCCGGGCAUAUUACCAGCUCAAA
rnacentral:lncRNA from 1 species